UCCAGAUUAUUCCAUGGUAAUGCUACAAUGAGGCUGGAAAAUGUAAACAGAAACGGGCACCUCUUCUGGGGUAGUGCCAUGAAAAAUAACCUCCAUGGCCAGUUGGUUUCCUAACACUGUGUUUGCACCGUGAAUCUGUAGACACAAAGGGAUAUCCACACUUGCAUUUCUGUGUAGGUUAGUGAACCAGACAGUGGUGCUCCCACAGGCAUGGUCUGUGAACUUCCCUAUAGCCCCCAUGGCUGGAUGAGACAACAGGAAGCUCCAACAUGCCAGUCAUAAAAAUUCUCGCUGGCCAAAAAAAGCACAUCACGAUAAUCCAAGAAUUGAAUCAUCAACAGAGAGCAACAGCCUAAAUGGAACAAACUCUAUCAAGUCUUCAAAAGCACAUUUCAGAUGGAUCAUACAUUGUGACACUAACUUACCUGUCAAUCACUGUGGAAGACACAAUUUACAUAAUGUUGGGAUGAAUUGCUGAGCCAAGUAUUCAGACCACAGGAGGCAUACUUCUACUGUAUGUG
rnacentral:lncRNA from 1 species